rnacentral:rRNA from 1 species
UAAGACGAACCGUGCAAACGUUAUUCGGAAUCACUGGGCUUAAAGGGCGCGUAGGCGGGUCGGACAGUCUGCGGUGAAAUCCUCCAGCUUAACUGGAGAACUGCCGUGGAUACUCCCGACCUCGAGGAGGGUAGGGGCAUCUGGAACAGCCGGUGGAGCGGUGAAAUGCGUUGAUAUCGGCUGGAACUCCGGUGGCGAAGGCGAGAUGCUGGACCCUUUCUGACGCUGAUGCGCGAAAGCCAGGGGAGCGAACGGGAUUAGAUACCCCGGUAGUCCUGGCCCUAAACGAUGAGAACUGGAUAGCGAUUCUGACAUAGAACCGCUGUCGGAGCAAAAGUGUUAAGUUCUCCGCCUGGGGAGUAUGGUCGCAAGGCUG